rnacentral:lncRNA from 1 species
UCUUCUUCAUCUUCUUCUUUAGAACAGAGCACCCCUCCCUCCUUUCCCUCUUCUCCUCACCAUGCCAGUGGGAACUCGGGCCAGUAGCCAUCAGCGGUGCUCGAUGCUGAAGAAAAGAUGACUCAAUAGUGGCCAUAACUAUCGGUGUACGAUCAACAAAACGAAAGAAAGAAACAAAUAAAAAAAAAACUCAUAACAGAGGAGGCCUUGUUCU